GGUNNAGGGCGAANCUGACCAGCAUGCCGCGUGGAGGGANGACUGCCUUCGGGUUGUAAACCUCUUUUCUUGGGGAAGAAACCAUG
rnacentral:rRNA from 1 species